rnacentral:snoRNA from 1 species
CUUCUCAGUUAUCUGAUGAUUUAUAAUUCUAUUUUCUGACAUCUCUUAUGAACCGUUGUGAUUCAAAUCAGUUAUAACUAAUUCUGACACA